rnacentral:rRNA from 1 species
GACGAACCGUGCGAACGUUGUUCGGAAUCACUGGGCUUAAAGGGCGCGUAGGCGGAUGACCAAGUCAGGGGUGAAAGCCCGCAGCUCAACUGCGGAAGUGCCUUUGAUACUGGUUGUCUCGAGGGAGAUAGGGGCAUGUGGAACUUCCGGUGGAGCGGUGAAAUGCGUAGAUAUCGGAAGGAACGCCGGUGGCGAAGGCGGCCCGCUGGACCCCAUCUGACGCUGAGGCGCGAAAGCCAGGGGAGCGAACGGG